rnacentral:lncRNA from 1 species
CGCUGGCCUCCGAGAGCGAGACGGAGAAGGUGUCAAGGCGCUCGCGGAAGGAGGAGGAGAUGGGCCCGGGGCGGGCAGGGAGGGAGUCAGAGUCUGACAAGUUACGCAGAGUCGCACAGCGCUGACGUCUGUGAGUUGAGUCCGACCAGGCGUCCCCGACCCAGAGGUCUGGGCCAUUUUCUUCUGCCUGCGCUCUUGCUGCCACUCGUCUCUUCGUCCCGUACGUCGGAUAAGGGGCUUGGAUUUUCCCUUGAACUCGGUUUACCUCUGAGCUUCUUGUCCAGCUCAUCGCACAGCCUCUGCGGCCAGAGGCUCUGGGUUUGAGUCCCACCUCCACCAGCGCUGGCUGGAUGACCGCAGAGCAGCAGGGCCUGCUUGCUUAGCGUGUGGCUCCAGGAGUCGGUCCGUCUGCGUGGCGUCUCUAGAACUGCUUGGCACAAAGAAAGCAGUCAACAACGCAAUGUGAACUGUCACUUGUAGUCACCUUCACAUCUGCCAGUAGAGCCUGACGCUUAGAUAAUCAUACAAUGGCUUCGCUGGAAAGAGAGCCUAUCUGGCCUCGGACUUUUGUACACUGUCUUUAUUCGCUGCAAAACAAACCUUAGGUUCACUGGUAGUCUCACUGGUGGUCUGAUUAAGCCAUCACGCUCCUCUCUCUUUUUUUUGAGAAGUGGCCCCACCACAGCUAUUUCACUGGCCUUGGACGCACAGCGAUCCUCCUGCCUCAGCCUCUCUAGUCCUGGCAUUACAGGACACCCCAGAAGCCCUCAUUGCCCAUUUCCAGACACUGGACGCCAGAAAGACAAAGAUCACAGAGACCGCGUGCUCCCUGCCUUCUGCACGGAGCCCAAGCUGAGCCCACAUCCUGAGAAACCAGAAAUGAAGGUGCCGAUGGAAGAGAGAAAGCACCAGUGGAGGAUGAGUCCCCAGAGUGGACGAGGGGUGGGGAAGCAGGCGGAGCGGGAAAAGGUUAGCGUGAGGACGAGUUGGAUGAGAAGCUGA